GACUUCGUAGCUCAGUGGUUAGAGCAUGCGAUUGCAGUGAAACCCCUACGGGAUUCGAACAGCAACAUCGCAGGGCCACGUGUUCGAAUCACGUCGAGGUCU